CGAUCAUUUUUGAUCCCGAACCCUUCUCCCAACUCCUCAUCUCAUGCGGCUUCUCCAUCCAACUCCUCUCCGGCCUCCAGAUCUGGGGCGUCAACAAGGCUGUGUACUCUUGGAGAAAUUGAUUGUCAGGGUUUCCGCGGAAGCAAUUUGGAGUCAACUAGCGUGAAAUACGAUUUUUUUUCUCAUACCCGCACGAAGCCACUGCCUUGGGUGAUCUCGGCAGCGGCCAGGGAGUUAGGUUUGGCAGCUCGAGGAGGGAGGGUAGAGACGGGAGAGGUGGCGGCGAGCGGGCGGCGGAGGAUGGUCGGUGAGCUCGGGAGGGACGUGCAGUGGCUCAGGGAGGGAAGGUGGUGGGAUUGAGAAGCAAGGCGAGCCUCGGGGUGGCACAGGCGAGCUUCAGAGGGCAGUGUGCAGCAGAGGCCUUUUUCCUCCUUCCAUUCUUUCCCUAUUUUCAUCCGAAUACACAACUUUCUCCCUCUUUUUUCCUCUCCCUCCCUCUCCCUUCCCUCCUUUCUCUCCUCCCCUCAUUUCUCUUCUUCCCCUUCUCUUCCUUUCUCCCUGAAUGCACAUUGUGUAAGCAACACUAAGUUCAUCGCGGUCCUGAUAUUUUGUUUGUUAAAAUUAGAAAAUUGAAUAGACAAAUUAUCUCUCUGUUUUCAGCCUUUACAAUCGUUUCUUUGAUGAAUCAAUAUAAUUUGGCUUACUUCUUUUUCCAUCUUCUAGAUACUGAAAAUGGAAAAGGAUUCAAGUUUCUCACGAGGAAGUGAAAUGUCUCUACUGGAGCAAUUUGAAGGUAUAUUGGAAGGAGAUAAACUCAUGCACAUAUUAAAGUUCUCUAACUGAUGGAGGAGGUAGUUUGAUUACAUUAGAGCCAAUAAGGGCUUCCUAAGACGAGAGAAAAAUUCUGGAAUAGCUCUCUGAAUGUUUUACAGAUCCAAUUCUACAAGAUAUGCUUCAUUGCCCACUGAUUUAUGCAUCUGCUCAGGAAAACUCUGAUCACCUUCUUGAAGAUGAAAUUCUAAAACACACGAAGGCCUUACUGAUUUUAAGCUGCAACUUCAGCAGUGCUUGGAAUGACAGGUGGAUACAAGACAGUCGAUAUUAGUACACUAAGGAGCGUCUGGAUUCAGUAAUUGAUCAGUACACUAAGCGUCUGGAUUCAGUAACUACUGUACUAUUUUGAAUAAACAGAUUGUUGGCUACUUCAGUAUUCAGUAUUCAGUAAACUGAUUGUUAGCUAAACAGAUUGUAGCUGUUCAAAAUAGAUUUUUUGUGCUCUUUUGUUUUA